GAUGAACGCUGGCGGCGUGCCUAAUACAUGCGAGUCGAGCGAACAGAUAAGGAGCUUGCUCCUCUGACGUUAGCGGCGGACGGGUGAGUAACACGUGGAUAACCUACCUAUAAGACUGGGAUAACUUCGGGAAACCGGAGCUAAUACCGGAUAAUAUAUUGAACCGCAUGGUUCAAUAGUGAAAGACGGUUUUGCUGUCACUUAUAGAUGGAUCCGCGCCGCAUUAGCUAGUUGGUAAGGUAACGGCUUACCAAGGCAACGAUGCGUAGCCGACCUGAGAGGGUGAUCGGCCACACUGGAACUGAGACACGGUCCAGACUCCUACGGGAGGCAGCAGUAGGGAAUCUUCCGCAAUGGGCGAAAGCCUGACGGAGCAACGCCGCGUGAGUGAUGAAGGUCUUCGGAUCGUAAAACUCUGUUAUUAGGGAAGAACAAAUGUGUAAGUAACUAUGCACGUCUUGACGGUACCUAAUCAGAAAGCCACGGCUAACUACGUG
rnacentral:rRNA from 1 species